ACCCUUGUCUUCCAACCCAAAUACAAGUUGUGUCUUCCGAGAAACAUUUUGGGUCUAUCUGGUUUUUGCAAAGGUUGUUGUUCUUCUUGCAGAAAUGAGUGAGAUCAAAUAUGGCUAUCCUUACCCAGCUCAAGGUCCUUAUCAGGGGCCACCUCCGGUGGCGGCACCUCCGCAGUACUACGCCGCCGCUCCACCGCCGAGAAGACAACCGGGUUUCCUUGAGGGAUGCCUAGCGGCUUUGUGUUGCUGUUGCCUUUUGGACGAGUGCUGCUGUGACCCAACCAUUAUUUUUGCCAGUUAAUGCUAUCAAUUUACCAAACAGGGAAAAACACUUAUUGUAACACUGCUAUUUUGAUUUAACAGUUGCUAUUGUUUAGUGAAUCCCAUCAAAUUAUUAUGCAUCAAUGAGUAGUAAUCAAUAUGUUAGCUUUUUUUCUUCUGGUAUUGUUA